rnacentral:rRNA from 1 species
GACGAACGCUGGCGGCGUGCUUAACACAUGCAAGUCGAACGGAAAGGCCCUGCUUUUGUGGGGUGCUCGAGUGGCGAACGGGUGAGUAACACGUGAGUAACCUGCCCUUGACUUUGGGAUAACUUCAGGAAACUGGGGCUAAUACCGGAUAGGAGCUCCUGCUGCAUGGUGGGGGUUGGAAAGUUUCGGCGGUUGGGGAUGGACUCGCGGCUUAUCAGCUUGUUGGUGGGGUAGUGGCUUACCAAGGCUUUGACGGGUAGCCGGCCUGAGAGGGUGACAGGCCACAUUGGGACUGAGAUACGGCCCAGACUCCUACGGGAGGCAGCAGUGGGGAAUAUUGCACAACGGGCGGAAGCCUGAUGCAGCAACGCCGCGUGCGGGAUGACGGCCUUCGGGUUGUAAACCGCUUUCGCCUGUGACGAAGCGUGAGUGACGGUAAUGGGUAAAGAAGCACCGGCUAACUACGUG